UCUAAUGUCCAACUGUGGAGACAACCGAGACAAACUACAGCAUUUGUUGACAUGACGGAAAUCGAAGACCGUUGAAUGGAAAGAGAAAAUAAAUAGUUUAUUUUCACAAACAUAGAGAAUGUCCACCGUGGCAAAUGGUUUUUAAGGAGGGAGGCAGGCCCUCACCCCUCCCCACAGUGGGACACCAAGCUACUGUCUGCUCUGUUUGUCCUUCAGGGGAGAAUUUGCAUUGAUUUGAGUUUUUUUUUUUUUUCAGAAUAGUAGUUUUGUAGGAAUAGUGUAAAUAAAGUGUAAAACAGUGGAGUUUUGGAGCUAAAGCUGUGUAUGUGUACAGUAGACAUGGGGAGGCUUUACAAUAUGGCCGUGCUACUGUUGACCUUUGGAAACCACUGGUUUAGGCUAUUGUGCCACAUAAACUUCCCUGUCCUUUCCCCGUUUAAUGCAGUUAAUUUAAAAAAUUCAAGUGUUUCCUGAUGAUAGAUUUAAGAUUUAAAGAUAUUACAAAGAUUUUGCAAAAAAGCUAAUAAAAUGUAAUUUUCCCAAAAUAAUUAAUGCACUUGGGGGCAAAAUAAUGAUGUAUCUAAUUAGAACAGAAUCUGAAAAUCAUGUAACUAAUAUCUCUAUGUCCUGUUUUAGGAAGUUCUGGAAAUCAAAAGAUUUUUUAAAAAAGGCCAGACGUAGCUGACGGGGGGGAAGUAUUACCUGAGGGUGAAAUGGAUUUGGAUGCAGCAAACAGUGAUGAAGUGAUGAAAGGUCAGCCUGAUUGGCUAAGCAGCCCUUCAUCACAUUGAGGCAGAGGGAGUGACAGGGUUUGAGGAAAGGCAUUCCUCGACACAGAGGACAGUACCACUGACGCAUCAGGCCACGCACACACUCCGAAUCUGCGGUCAACUAGAGGACAAAAAAAAAAACAACAGAUGGAUUUACAAGGCCAUUCUUUUAUUUUCUGGAAACGUCCAAAAAGUCGAACGUCACGCACUUGGACGCGCAGUUUACGAGGCACGUCUCCGAACGGCUGCAGCUGCUCGACGUGUUUGCUGACGCAUUCCAGAUAGUC